rnacentral:rRNA from 1 species
GCAGACGGGUGAGUAACGCGUGGGAAUCUACCCUUUUCUACGGAAUAACGCAUGGAAACGUGUGCUAAUACCGUAUGAGCCCUUCGGGGGAAAGAUUUAUCGGGAAAGGAUGAGCCCGCGUUGGAUUAGCUAGUUGGUGGGGUAAAGGCCUACCAAGGCGACGAUCCAUAGCUGGUCUGAGAGGAUGAUCAGCCACAUUGGGACUGAGACACGGCCCAAACUCCUACGGGAGGCAGCAGUGGGGAAUAUUGGACAAUGGGCGCAAGCCUGAUCCAGCCAUGCCGCGUGAGUGAUGAAGGCCCUAGGGUUGUAAAGCUCUUUCACCGGUGAAGAUAAUGACGGUAACCGGAGAAGAAGCCCCGGCUAACUUCGUGCCAGCAGCCGCGGUAAUACGAAGGGGGCUAGCGUUGUUCGGAAUUACUGGGCGUAAAGCGCACGUAGGCGGACAUUUAAGUCAGGGGUGAAAUCCCAGAGCUCAACUCUGGAACUGCCUUUGAUACUGGGUGUCUAGAGUAUGGAAGAGGUGAGUGGAAUUCCGAGUGUAGAGGUGAAAUUCGUAGAUAUUCGGAGGAACACCAGUGGCGAAGGCGGCUCACUGGUCCAUUACUGACGCUGAGGUGCGAAAGCGUGGGGAGCAAACAGGAUUAGAUA